rnacentral:lncRNA from 1 species
GGGAUGCAGUGGGAUGGCAUGAGAUUUCAUUAUGCUACUCAGGACGAUGUGCAAUUUAAAACUUAGGAAUUGUUUAUUUCUGGAAUUUUCCACUUAAUAUUUUCAGUUUGUGGUUGAUCGUGGGAAACUGAAACCUGUAAAGCAAAAGUGGAUUGCAGGGGACCACUAUAGUUCAGUAUGGGGGAUCACUGGGGCUGAAAGACAACAGGAGUGAGCGGUGGGAGUUGUGAGAUGGAGGUAAAAGAUGGGGGCAGAUCAUGAUGGACCCCAAAGGAGGUUUAACUUUAAGUUGGCUGCCGCCACACCAAAUCUUUGGCGUGGCUAAGGCAAGAACCUUUGGCGUUACAGUUUCGGCGAGCCAGCCAGGAAGAUCUCCAGGAAAGGCAUCUAGAUCGUCACGUG